GGCGCGGAGGGUUGUAGGUGCGGGGCGGGAGGGUUUUUUUUCUUGGGCUGUCUGCCUUUGCACCGGGAGCCUUCUUGUGGAGCAGAUCUUUCUCGAGCUUUCCAACGCCAGCUUGGCGCCCCGGCUUGCAAAAGACUUGAAGCCACUGGGCGUAUGGGGUUUUGUUUGUUUGCCUUUCACUGGGUAUGUUUAGGAACUUCCCCGUCUCACUCCCUCUCCCUCCUGCAUGAAACUUCCUAGUAGCAAAGAAGCCAAGAAUAAAGAACUGUAAUUCUUAAGGA
rnacentral:lncRNA from 1 species